rnacentral:pre_miRNA from 1 species
GUUGAUCAUGUGUAUUCCUGGGUAAAUAACAUUUAUUUAUUUAACCAUGUUAUUGCUUGAGAAUACACGUGGUCGAC